rnacentral:sRNA from 2 species
UCAACGAUAAGAAAAGCAUAGCGCUCAAAACAACGUAAACUCCAUUUCUAUCUCACAUCUAGCAAAGCCAUGACUCCAGGUUAUUUAUAAAGGUCGCCGUCCCCCGUCGCCACCAAUGUCAAACGGAUGAAAUAGUCUCCCCAAUUUUCCAGAACCGUGUAUCAGCGUAAGUUAAGCAUAAAUGCUCCGGACUAUAUGUUUCUCCAGAAUCGGAUGUGCCAGCUGCCUCUUGGCAGAUAACCUUCACCACCCGCCCCAGCACAAUGACGUGAUUCCCUACCUUGACGCUUUGCGAGAGAUAUCGGCAUUCGAAGAUAAAUGGGAAAUAAUCCGCGGUAGCAACAGGGGCGGGAGUAACAGAGCUACCGCUACCGUCCACCCGCCCUGCUUCCGUAGGCAGAGAGGAUUCGCCGUCCUUCUUUGCAUUGUUUAACAGCACGAGACGCGGCGGCUCCCCCUCCGCAAUCGACGGCACCCGACCACCAUCUCCCCCGCUCAUCGGGACGAAUUGAAAAAAAGUGGCGCUUUCGUCCGCACGCAUGAUUUUUGCAUUUCCCUGGGAGAAGUCCCUCGCUAGGCGUGCGGUUGUAUUCGUGGGUGCUAAGAGGUGGACGAGGAAGCGGGACGAGGCGUCGAUGGCGUUGAACGUUUCGGAGGGGAGUUUCACAUUGAAGGAGACGAUGGUUUCCGGGUAGAGCGUUACUGUGUUGAAGGAGGAGACGGUCAUGCCUCGAAAGGCAGUCUGUGCCGUGGGUGAUCUGGGGUCUGUGGAUGUGAUUAUUGCGACGGGGUGCGGGACCCGGCGCAUCAGGAAGCGGACUUGGUCGCCGAUCUGCCUCUCGGAACCAGCUGUUUCGUGCUGUGUUGUGGCUUCUGGUGGUUCACAGGUAUCCUCGUCGACGAUUACUACGUUUCCGGAAGUAUUGGUUGGCAGAACAUGAUAGUCUAUAUGCGAUUCAAUUGUACUUGAAGAUUUCGUCGCGUUCUGAGGAGGGUUUGAUGGGAUUCGGCCGGGUAAAACUGGGAGGAUCGAAUCCGUAAUGCUUGCAGCAUGUUUAGACAGAAUUGUCCGUAGAAGCCCGUAGAAGCGAGGGCGAUGGCCUCUAGUUGGAAAGGACGCCAGCUGUCCAUGAUGAAAAUAUAAGUGCGGCAACUUGAUGCUACGGCGUAAGUGGAAGAUCUCCCUGGUUCCGCGAGUGCUGCCCAAACGGAGAUUGAUAGAACAGCAUCCCAAUGACAUCUUCCUGAAUAAGUAACGUCCGGACAAUGCCUUUCUUGUAGGAGUUCAUUUUUUGGAAAUUGCAAAGCCUAUGUCCGCAGUUUCUAGGGAAAGGGAAACAUUGUCUCUUCGUACUAUGUUGAGAAUU